ACGUCUUUGUGUUGUUUGCUGAUUGAUUUACCAAGAUCAGUGAUUGUCAAACAGGACGUAAAUAAAUUCUAAAGCCUCGUUAUAGUCUUAAAACAGCUUUUUCGGCGCUAAGACUUCUCCAUACUUUAGAAACAGUA